CCUACGGGCGGCAGCAGUGAGGAAUAUUGGUCAAUGGGCUUAAGCCUGAACCAGCCAAGUCGCGUGAGGGAAGACUGCCCUAUGGGUUGUAAACCUCUUUUGUCGGGGAGCAAUGCGCGCUACGUGUAGCGUUAUCGAGAGUACCUGAAGAAAAAGCAUCGGCUAACUCCGUGCCAGCAGCCGCGGUAAUACGGAGGAUGCGAGCGUUAUCCGGAUUUAUUGGGUUUAAAGGGUGCGUAGGCGGAAGGCUAAGUCAGCGGUAAAAUGGCGGGGCUCAACCUCGCCCUGCCGUUGAAACUGGUCUUGUUGAGUGGGCGAGAAGUAUGCGGAAUGCGUGGUGUAGCGGUGAAAUGCAUAGAUAUCACGCAGAACUCCGAUUGCGAAGGCAGCAUACCGGCGCUCAACUGACGCUGAGGCACGAAAGCGUGGGUAUCGAACAGGAUUAGAUACCCGUGUAGUC
rnacentral:rRNA from 1 species